rnacentral:rRNA from 1 species
GACGAACGCUGGCGGCGUGCUUAACACAUGCAAGUCGAACGGAAAGGCCCCUUUGGGGGUCCUCGAGUGGCGAACGGGUGAGUAACACGUGAGUAACCUGCCCUUGACUUCGGGAUAACUCCAGGAAACUGGGGCUAAUACCGGAUAGGAAUCCUUGCUGCAUGGUGGGGGUUGGAAAGCUUCGGCGGUUUUGGAUGGACUCGCGGCUUAUCAGCUUGUUGGUGGGGUAGUGGCUUACCAAGGCUUUGACGGGUAGCCGGCCUGAGAGGGCGACCGGCCACAUUGGGACUGAGAUACGGCCCAGACUCCUACGGGAGGCAGCAGUGGGGAAUAUUGCACAAUGGGCGGAAGCCUGAUGCAGCAACGCCGCGUGCGGGAUGACGGCCUUCGGGUUGUAAACCGCUUUCAGCAGGGGCGAAGCUUGUGGUGACGGUACCUGCAGAAGAAGCACCGGCUAACUACGUG